rnacentral:rRNA from 1 species
AGUGAACGCUGGCGGUAGGCCUAACACAUGCAAGUCGAACGGCAGCACAGUAAGAGCUUGCUCUUACGGGUGGCGAGUGGCGGACGGGUGAGGAAUACAUCGGAAUCUACUUUUUCGUGGGGGAUAACGUAGGGAAACUUACGCUAAUACCGCAUACGACCUACGGGUGAAAGCAGGGGAUCUUCGGACCUUGCGCGAUUGAAUGAGCCGGUGUCGGAUUAGCUAGUUGGCGGGGUAAAGGCCCACCAAGGCGACGAUCCGUAGCUGGUCUGAGAGGAUGGUCAGCCACACUGGAACGGAGACACGGUCCAGACUCCUACGGGAGGCAGCAGUGGGGAAUAUUGGACAAUGGGCGCAAGCCUGAUCCAGCCAUACCGCGUGGGUGAAGAAGGCCUUCGGGUUGUAAAGCCCUUUUGUUGGGAAAGAAAAGCAGCAGGUUAAUACCCCGCUGUUCUGACGGUACCCAAAGAAUAAGCACCGGCUAACUUCGUG